GUGAAUAUAGCUUAAAUGGUUAGAGUACUGGGUUGUGGUUCCAGUGGUCCCAGUUCGAUUCUGGGUAUUCACA
rnacentral:tRNA from 1 species